UGGUGGAGCGAUUUGUCUGGUUAAUUCCGUUAACGAACGAGACCUCGACCUGCUAAAUAGUUCGGCGAACUCUUCGGAGUUCGUGCGUGACUUCUUAGAGGGACUAUCGGUGUGUAGCCGAUGGAAGUUCGAGGCAAUAACA
rnacentral:rRNA from 1 species